CUUGGUCAUUUAGAGGAAGUAAAAGUCGUAACAAGGUUUCCGUAGGUGAACCUGCGGAAGGAUCAUUAAUUAAGACGAUGCCCUUCUUAGGGAACUCCUCCCGGCAUUGCCGGGUGCAUUCACCUCUCCUUGUGAAUGGACCUAUUGCUUUGGUAGCCAUCCUACCAGUUGGGUUGUUAGUCUACCUUUAGCUUAAUAAUAAAAUCUAUAUGAUAUUCUGUGAGAUGUCUGAAAAGAAAAGUAAAUUUGUAUAAAACUUUCAGCAACGGAUCUCUUGGUUCUCGCAUCGAUGAAGAACGCAGCAAAACGCGAUAGGUAAUGUGAAUUGCAGAAUUCAGUGAAUCAUCGAAUCUUUGAACGCAUAUUGCGCCUCUUGGUGGACCAUGGGGCACGUCUGUUCGAGAGUGAUGCUCAAUGAUCAAGCCAUUGUUUUGAUGCAGUGGACUUGUUUUUGAGUCCUGGGAGUCCAGCUUCCCUGGCUCUAAAGUGGUGGUCUUGCGGUCCAUGUUGAACCAUGAACAUGAUAAUGUAAAACUCAUUGUUCUGUGGUGCUUAACUGGGGCUAGCCUUAACAACCUUAAAUUCUAACUUCGGAUCAGACAAGAAUACCCGCUGAACUUAAGCAUAUCAAUAAGCGGAGGA
rnacentral:rRNA from 1 species